GAUGGAUCCCAUCCCGCACGGCUGCGCAAUUCCCCCACGCAUCGCUGCAUUGGGGCGAGAGGGGAACCGAGCUAGGGUUUCACCUCCCCCGCCCGCCUCCUCCUCCUUACCGCGCGAACCGACCCGACCCCCGCUUCGCCGCUGCCGCAGCCGUGAUGGGGACGGAGCGGAAGCGCAUGGUGAGCCUCUUCGACGUGGUCGAUGAGAGCUCCGUCUCUACCAAGCUCGGCCACGCCGGCACCACCAACAGCACCGCCACCGCCGCGGCCAACCCGUCCAUCAAUUGGUGGACGGGGAGGCCCUACUCGGCAAGGUACCUCGAGAUCCUCUAGAAGCACCGCACGCUCCCCGUGUGGCAGCAGAAGGACGAUUUCCUCGCCGUCCUCCGUGACAACCAGACCCUCAUCCUCGUCGGAGAAACCGGAAGCAGCAAGACCACUCAGUACAGGGGAGCGGUGCUCCGGUAGGCCUCUCAUCGAGUUGUCUGAAUUCCCGGGCCUCCGCUCAUCCGCCACCACGCGUGUUCCAUGGAGCAUGAGCUCCUCUUUAGGGUUUCAGUACGGAGUAGAGUAAGUGUGUUCCGGCCACUGCCGUCAUUGCCUUCCACGGGACAGUCAGCUCCAGCAAGCGGAUAUAGAUCUGCAUUUUCAUCCGCAACAGCGCUUUAUCUGGUCUGACUCUAUUCAUUUUGUUGUCAAUUGGUUGGUUUCGCCAUCGUUUACUCUACAACAGAUGAUUUCCAUGGCCAUUGUUUCAUCCACAGGAAAAUUCAUGGACGGUUUACAAUGUAAAUUUAAUGUUGGGUGGUGUCUUAUCUUGACCAAACUGUGUUUUGAUAUAUAUGGUGCAGUGACUUUGUGAGCAGCUCAGUUUAAUAGAACCAAGUCUUAUAGGUAAGAUGGUUGAUCUCAAUCAUUGUUUCAAAUUGAUUGCCUACAACUCUUUGAAAUAGAAGGUAAAUUAACCAUACACUCGUCUACUAUAUAUGUUUGUGUAUGUCAUAUACUUGAUGAAAUGCUUGAUGGACUUAGCCCGUCGGUAUGCAUUAUUAGUUAAGUACUCAAAACUACACACUGCUGUCACUUAAUUUUAGAUUUCUCAUCACGUUCAGUUACAUAAGAGUCAGGCCUUAAAGGAUAUGGCAGCUAUUAACUGUAUAAUAUUUUGUCCCAAAUGGUUCAGUUCUAGAGCACUUAAAGAUGGCUAUUGCAGGUAUUAUAGGCCAGCACAAAGUUUGUUGGUGUUAUCUCUUUGUUGCUUGCAGUAUACUCAUAUCACAUUGAAGCCAAGUUAUGCUAUGUAUUACGUUGAUUUGGUCAUGAAAUUUUUCUCUCAAUUCAGGAAGCAUUUUUAUCCAACGAUGUAUGCACCUUCUCUGCUAAACAACUAUGCAGUGGAUGUGUUCAUGAUUGUUUUCUUCUGAUCCUAGCACAUUCCCUGAGAUAUCCUUCAAGAAUGAUGACUUCAAAUUCAUCGCGUGCCUUUUUUCCUCUCUCAUAUUUACAUUGUUAUGCCUAGGACAAUAGCUUCAGUUUAACAGUGUACCUCGCUGCUUGAUAAUUGCGAUGGGUAAGAUACUAUCAGUAAAAUGUGAAUCUAUUAUGUCCUUGAGAUUCUUCAUAUGGUUAUCCUCAACUGCUAACUUCUACUCCCUCCGUCCCACAAUAUAAGGGAUUUUGAGUUUUUGCUUGUAACAUUUGAUCACUCGUCUUAUUCAAUUUUUUUUUACAAAUAUAAAAAACGAAAAGUUGUGCUUAUAGUACUGUAGAUAAUAAAGUAAGUCACAAUUAAAAUAAAUAAUAAUUUCAAAAAAUUUUAAAUAAGACGAGUGGUUAAACAUUAUAAGAAAAACUCAAAAUCCCUUAUAUUAUGGGACGGAGGGAGUAUGAUUUAAUCUGUGCGCUGCUGCUUUUCAUGUCUCUGCAAAUGCAGAUGUAUUGAUGUGACCUUCAAUCUCCAUGCAGAGUAUCAUAUCAUGACACACAAGGAUCUUUCGUUGGGUGCUGUGUACAAUUAUUGUUACCGAGGCCUUUGAAGGUAUUACAGUAAUAUAUUGUUACAUCUCCUUCACCGGGCUUCUAUACUAGAGAUCCUCCUAUUACUAUUUUAGUUCUUUUUAAACCAGACAACCUGAUUAGUUAUUCUUACUUAUCUUUUUAUACAAGAUUUUUUUUGACAAAAUUAUAUUUGCACCAUCAGAUGUAAAAUGCCAACUUUGUUCAAGCUCCCCUGAGCCAUAUACCAUAUAUUCAUGUUUUGCUUGAUUUCUA